rnacentral:rRNA from 1 species
AUGCAAGUCGAGCGAACAGACGAGGAGCUUGCUCCUCUGACGUUAGCGGCGGACGGGUGAGUAACACGUGGAUAACCUACCUAUAAGACUGGGAUAACUUCGGGAAACCGGAGCUAAUACCGGAUAAUAUAUUGAACCGCAUGGUUCAAUAGUGAAAGACGGUUUUGCUGUCACUUAUAGAUGGAUCCGCGCCGCAUUAGCUAGUUGGUAAGGUAACGGCUUACCAAGGCAACGAUGCGUAGCCGACCUGAGAGGGUGAUCGGCCACACUGGAACUGAGACACGGUCCAGACUCCUACGGGAGGCAGCAGUAGGGAAUCUUCCGCAAUGGGCGAAAGCCUGACGGAGCAACGCCGCGUGAGUGAUGAAGGUCUUCGGAUCGUAAAACUCUGUUAUUAGGGAAGAACAAAUGUGUAAGUAACUAUGCACGUCUUGACGGUACCUAAUCAGAAAGCCACGGCUAACUACGUGCCAGCAGCCGCGGUAAUACGUAGGUGGCAAGCGUUAUCCGGAAUUAUUGGGCGUAAAGCGCGCGUAGGCGGUUUUUUAAGUCUGAUGUGAAAGCCCACGGCUCAACCGUGGAGGGUCAUUGGAAACUGGAAAACUUGAGUGCAGAAGAGGAAAGUGGAAUUCCAUGUGUAGCGGUGAAAUGCGCAGAGAUAUGGAGGAACACCAGUGGCGAAGGCGACUUUCUGGUCUGUAACUGACGCUGAUGUGCGAAAGCGUGGGGAUC